UAUAUUGUAUGUGUGUGAAAGAAUGUCAGUGAGUGUGUGAGUUAUAUACAUGUCGAGUGCACGUGUGAGAGCAUCAGGUCUGUGAGAGUUUAGAAUCGUCGAGCAUAUAUACUCUUGUAUCUCAACUGUAAGAACUAAUCAUUAUCUUUAGUCAAAUUGAUUAUCAAAACCGUUUUCAAUACAAUGUAGACAUUCGAUUUAUCGAAUGCUAUCAUGGUAUCAGACUCAUAAAUCAUGAAUUUCUGAUGGUAUCGAUCCAAUCUUCCACUUGUAAACCUUAAUUUUCUGUAAUCCAAUUUCAUCUGUUGUUGUUCUUCUCCAAACUCUACAUAAUCUUCAUCACAAAUCUGCAGUUGUUCUUCAUCUUACAAAGAUUUAGAAUCUCAGAUCUAGAUUUUCUUAUAUGAACAUCUUCCAAAUUCAUCUUCAACAGAAGUUUUUCAUCACAAUUAGGUUAUUUUUAUGCAAUCUAAUUUCUUAAUCAAGAUUGUUGUUCUUGAUUCCUAAUGCCGAGAGAGUCUGAGCGUGUUCUAGCUCGCUACACCAAGGUCUGAAAAACUUAAAGUUGUUCCACUGAUUGGAUUCAGCAGAAGAUUGAGAAGUUGUUGGUCUCAAUUCUUAUUUCAGGGCAGUCAUCAACAACUUUUUGAAGAAUCUUGUGUUGCUAAUGAUGUUUCUGAGUUGAAUAUCGGAUUGGAGUUGUGUCGAUUCAAAAUUUUUGAGUUCACUUUAUCCCAUUCUUACUGCUUAGAUAGUUUAAUUUGAAGAUUUCAUGGAGCUUGUGUGGAAUUGUAAUAACUGAUGGUUCAUAGUGUGAAGUUGAAUUUGAUCCUGAUUCUGGUAUUGCAACGUCGUCAAGAGGAUUAAUCAUGUAUUUUGAAGCUAAAAUUCAGUUGCAGGGUUUGGGCUCUUGGUAUUUCAAUUUCCAGUUUGGUGUUUGGAUUGAAAUCACUUACCUCAUCAGCUGCAAUCUGAGUCUAUGCUAGUAAUCUCCAUUGCUAUAUUUAGAUUACUUUAGUUUUAACAUCAUGUGUUCAGCUUCUACAUCACUAGCUCAACAACAAACAAUUCCAUCUUCAAAGGUUGUUUUCAUCAUAACUAGGCUUGUGGUAACUAGUUAUUUCAUCAAGUCCUACUUGUGCUGAUACCUGGUGUUUUUAAGUCUGAGCAUGCCUAUCUCCUCUACACCUUGUCUAGAUUAGAGAGAAGCUUAAAGUUCUUCCACUUGAAAGUGAGGAAAAUCUCCUCUUAAAUCACAGAUGUGUAUUGAUAAGUGUAUGGAAUGAAAGUUUGAUGCACUAUAUGUGCUUAAUUAGCUUAUUGUCAGUUCAUCCCUUUGGUACUGGCUUUGGUACAGUCCUCUUUUCAAGAGUGAGUUGGCUUGCAAGUUUAAUGAUGAAACUGAAGAUGAUGUUAUGGGAUUGGAAUUGGUAUGCACUGCUUUACAUAUUUUUAGGUCCUUCUAUUGUCCUAGCAAUCACUACUGCUGCAUCAAUUUGGUUCAACUGCGAAUGCACCAAUUGAUUCAACCUCAAGACCUGCUAUAGCAACAACUACUACACCACCUGCUUCUUCCCGAAUCUUUUACUGCUGCUCCAUUUUAUAUCCCUCACAGAUUGUAUGCUCACAUCGUCUGCACAAGCUAGUCAUAUUCUGCUUGCUACAUCAUUAUGAUUCUACAGUCAAAUUCAAGCUACAUCAACUGCAGCUGUUUGAUUAUACUCUGCAAUUUCAUUUGUUGGUGUACCUUUGCUCCUGCCACAUGCUUCGGAUACCAUUGCUAGCAAGUAAAGGCGGUUUCCUACACUUCUAUACCAACUUCAAUUACUGACUUUUUGUGCAACAACUAGUCCUACACUUCUAUAUCAACUAUUUGUUGUUGCCUGCAUACUAUUUUGUUUGCUAUUUCCCUUGCAAGCUCUCAGGUCAGUCAGUAAACUGUUUUUUACGCCGUUGUUUCUGCCAUCACCCACUGCUGCAACAACAUCUGCUUCUUUAUCUUUUUGUAUGUGUGUGUGUGAAAGAAUGUCAGUGCAAGAUCAAUGUGAUCUAUCCAGGCACCUUGAUCUUGAGGAGGAGUAAUGACAUAUAUUGUAUGUGUGUGAAAGAAUGUCAGUGAGUGUGUGAGUUAUAUACAUGUCGAGUGCACGUGUGAGAGCAUCAGGUCUGUGAGAGUUUAGAAUCGUCGAGCAUAUAUACCCUUGUAUCUCAACUGUAAGAAUUAAUCUUUCUCUUUAAUCAAAUUGAUUAUCAAAA